rnacentral:lncRNA from 1 species
GGCAAAAGAAACAAUAUCCACAUAACCAAAAUCGGUAGACAUGGGAAAGAAGGGGGAAAAGAAGAAUGCAAUGAAAAUAUGCAACUAAAGCUACCUAAAUGCAACACACAAUGACAAACACACAAAACAGAACAUCACACUCACAACACAAGACAAAACAACACACACUAACACAACAAAAGACCUAAAACCGAACCGUUGGUCCCCGACAACGGCAACAAAAUUUGAUGAGCUGUCGCAACCGACACAAAUUAAUGUGCAAUUAGAAAUGCAGUAUAGCUAGGAAAUGACUCCUAGGUCGUCUCUCAAGGACCAAUUUUGCGGUUCAAGAAUUAAGUCAAACACGAAGUGGGGGGUUGUGAAAAUGUUUGUGGUGAAUGCGGAUGAACUAAAUCAAAACAUUGACGCCAACAGAUAAUUAAACAUAGAUAUAAAAACGGUUUCAAAAGCAGAAUGGAAACGGUUGGUCAUUAACUUAAUUAUAAUGCUUCCUAUCACAUAUCAACAGAAUAAAGUCGACUCAAACCUCUAAUCCAACACAAUUAAUCAACUAAGCGCAGGCUAAUUAUGUUUUCAUAAAAGCGGACUAGGUGAACGCAAUGUUAACAUCAAAUCUAAUUUACACCAUGCAGUUUCAUCAACUAAGAGAAGACUCAACACCAACUAGGUAACUAAGUGUAUACCCAAUUGCAAGUGCAAAUACAGAUUUGAUAUUAACCAAGUCAGAGUGGCAAACACAAUUACGGUCCAGAAAUCUCAAGGAAACAUUAUAAUAUUGCUAAUGACCAACCAAAUUAAUUUAAGCUAUCAUAACAAUUAAAGUAACAAGACCAAACAUAUUAGACAAUAUUAGAAUAGAUGAAAAUAUUAAACGCCUAACACUGUAACAAACAAAUAUC